UACAGAGGUCCCAAGCGUUGUUCGGAUUCACUGGGCGUAAGGGUGCGUAGGUGGUCAGGUAAGUCUGAUGAUGAAAGCCGUCUCGGGCUCCAACCCAGAAAUGGCAUUGGAUACUAUCUGGCUAGAGGAAUGGAGGGGGGACUGGAAUACUUGGUGUAGCAGUGAAAUGCGUAGAUAUCAGAGGAACACCGGUGGCGAAGGCGGGUCUCUGGGCCGAUACUGACGCUGAGGAGCGAAAGCGUGGGGAGCGAACAGG
rnacentral:rRNA from 1 species